UGCGCGUGCCGAGAGCGGAAGUAAGCAAAGGCAGUGGAGACUUAUUUCCCGUGGACUUGCCGGUCGGUAAAAAUUAUUUUCACGAAGUCUCUCCACAAUCUGCAGAAGACUAUAAUGACUGAUGUCAACAGAAUCGCCGACAUUUUCUUCAUUAACCUCAAGUUCGAAACUUGAGAAAGGGUACAUGUUCUUUGUCAAACACUAUUUAUUCGACUAUGAAGAGAUCUUCAGUACAGACCCAGAGACCCAUUACUGCCUCCUCCCUCCUUUUUACUACAACGCCAGAACACAACGCAGAAUCACCAUCAAUUGGCGUAACGCACCGGUUACAUUUUAUUUUAACACGUCUUAGGCCUUUCGGGGUUUAAUAGAUAUCCUCCUUACUAAAAUGAAGACUGCAGACACAGGCGCUUCCACGAAGAAUUUUGAACGUGGCGCCCUCGUCUCUUCUGGUCGCUGUAACCCAGUGAGCUCGCAAUUCAUCAUCUGACAGAAAGUCGUGUAAACUUAAAUAAGAAUGCAUUGGCUUGUUGUUGGAAUAAUACGAGACAUUUGCAACUUGAUUGGGCAAUGGUUUGGCUUUUCUCAAUGUGACGGUAGAGAACUGGAAGAAAGACUCCACUGCCUACUUCCACCCUCGGAACGCGCAGCGUGAAAAGGGCCUAUAGGCUACUUCUGUCUUUAAUCCACUAAAAUGACCAGUCAAGCAGGUCGUUUCACUGCUGAUGUGUCGUUUAGCAAAUGACAGUGAUGAAUGAACAAGAGGGAAGCGUGAUAUUUUUGUCAGAUAAUUUAUUGAAAUGCAUUGAUGUGGAGAAUAGCCGUAUCAGCUCUUGUAUGAGGGAAUGUCAAUCAUAAAUUUCUCCUUGCCUGCUUAACCCCUUCAUCUCUUCUACCCAUUCUCUCUCACCACCAGUAUUCUAUAAAAACGUCUGUUCUUGCUGGAUUUAUUAUGAUAACCAAAUAUCACAAAAGCCCUGACCGUGUCUGACAUGCUUGCUAUGAGUCAGCUGUAUAAAUCACAGUUAUUAAAAUUGUAGUUACGUUAAACCCAUGCUAUUUGUCCACUGAAGCGCCUUUUUAAAAAAGUUGAACUUCAGCUGUAAAAUAAACUGAACUGAGCAUA